ACAGCGCACCCUCAGACGGGGGCGUGGCAUGGGCAGGACGGCGAGACGCAGCUAGCAGUUGAUUAGAUGUCGCAGGUGGUACGCGCUGAUCUAAUCAACUGUUGUCUUUAACAGUAAACGGCCAGCGGAGGAGGGACCGGCUGCUGUUGGUGGGACUGAAAAGUCGAGCAGAAAAGCGUGAUCCUGAAAAACUGAAUAUAUUAAAACUACUGUCAAACCUGAACCACUGGCGUCCAGCGUGCAUCUGUGGGAACUAUACCCAGCAUCAUCAACUACAAAACUUGUUAAUUUGGACUCAUGUUUUUAAUCACAAACAAAGUUAGUAAGUGAUACAUAAUAUUUCAGCUUAUUUCUGUGCCGCCAUAAAAUAUGUCCAUCCAUCUAUUUUCCUCAAUUGAUAUACUACAUCAUGUGUUUUAUUAUGUAGAUACUUAGCAUCAUCAAUAACAAAACUUGUAAAUUUGGGCUAAUUUUAUUAAUGACAAAAAAAAAGUUAGUAGAGGAUACAUAAUAUUUCAUCAUAUUUCUAUGCCGCCAUAAAAUGUUCCCCCCGUCUAUUUUCUUCAAUUAAUGUACUAACAUGUGUUUUAUUCUGUAGAUACUUAGCAUCAUCAACAACAACAUUUGUGAAUUGGGACUCAUGUUAUUAAUCACUAAAAAAUUAAUAGGUGAUACAUAAUAUUUUAGCAUAUUUCUGUGCCGCCAACAAAUGUGUCCCCCCCCUCUAUUUUCCUCAAUUGCUGUACUAACAUGUGUUUUAUUCUGUAGAUACUUAUCAUCAACAACAAAACUUGUGAAUUUGGACUCAUGUUUUCAAUGACAAACAAGUUAGUAGGUGAUACAUAAUAUUUCAGCAUAAUUCUGUGCCGCCAUGAAAUGUGUCCCCCCUCUCUAUUUUCCUCAAUUGAUGUACUAACAUGUGUUUUAUUCUGUAGAUGCUUAGCAUCAUCAACAAAACUUGUUACUUUAGACUCAUGUUAUUAAUCACCAAAAAAGUUAGUAGAGGAUACAUAAUAUUUCAGCAUAUUUCUGUGUCGCCAUAAAAUGUGCCCCCCCCCCCCCCCCUCUAUUUUCCUCAAUUGAUGGACCAACAUAAUGUGUUUUAUUCUGUAGAUACUUAGCAUCAUCAUCAACAACAAAACUUAUGAAUUUGGACUCGUGUUAUUAAUCAUAAUACAAGUUAGUAGGUGAUACAUAAUAUUUCAGUAUAUUUUCGUGCCGCUAUGAAAUGUUCCCCCCUCUGUUUUCCUCAAUUGAUGUACUAACAUCAUGUGUUUUAUUCUGUAGAUACUUACCAUCAUGGCGGCACAGAAAUAUGCCGGAUAUUAUGUAUGCCUUACUAACUUUUUUUGUCAUUAAUACUAUUAGUCUAAAUCAGUUGUGUCAAACGUACGGCCGGAGGGCAAGAUCAGGCCCGAGAACAAGUUUUAUCAGACCCGCGGGAUGAGUUUGCCAAGUAUAAAAAUGUACCUGAAAUUUUUGAAUGAAAGUAACUGCUGUUCUAAAUGUGUCCACUGGAUGGCACAAUUGCAAUUAUUUAUAUCUUUGUAGAUGAUGCUAGCUAUGUACAAAAUAAACUACAUGAUGUUAGUACAUCAGUCGAGGAACAUGGUCAAACUACAUAAAUAACAGACAGUGAUUUGAUUUUAAUAUACUUUUUUUUAUCUUAAUUUAAAAUUAACACCCAUAAGUUGACUGAUAAACAUUAUCACAUAAUUUAUUCAGAAAAUAUAAAUCACAACAAAUAAAGAUGGAAUACGAUUAACUGCAACAUGUAAGUGUAAAAGCGAACAUGUUUCUCUACCACAUGUCCACCGGCAGGUUUUGGUGAGAAAAUUGUGGUAAUAAGUCGGCUCUUACUGUAAACAUGAGCGGAGCUUGUGUCGUUCUUCCUGCAGCAGCUGUCAAAGAGGCAGCUGCGACUUUUUUGGCUCCUCCAUGGCUUCACUCAGACACUGGCGGUCACCACACCCCUCCGACUUUCAGCAGCUGUUUAAAAGGCAGCUGUGAGCUUGGCUCCUCGGCUUCUCUCUGAGACACUCCGAGUUCACCGCAGCCAUCCAACCUCGAGGGCACCUUUGGGUGGAUAAGUGGCUCAGCAACUUCACGGAAGUCAGAUGAUACUUGCUGGGAAUACUCACUGCCUUUUAAAGAAGUGAGUUCCCUGUCUUCCGUGAUCGUGUUUCGCCUCUCGACAUCCAUCCGGAUUCCUGACUGCCUUCGUCAAUCCUCGACCCCCUGCUCGGACACGGACUACGCUGCCUCACUCCUGCCGUCAACCCCUUGACUUUGAAUAUGACCAAUGUUUGAUCCUGUAACGACUUGGUAUCGGAUUGAUACCCAAAUGUGUGGUAUCAUCCAAAACUAAUGUAAAGUAUCAAACAGAAGAAUAAAUGAUUAUUACAUUUUAACAGAAGUGUAGAUAGAACAUGUUAAAAGGGAAAGUAAGCAGAUAUUAACAGUAAAUGAACAAAUAGAUUAAUUAUUCAUUUUCUACCACUUGUCCUUAAUAAUUCUGACAAUAUGAGAAUGGAAAAUGACACAAUAUGUUACUGCAUAUGUCAGCAGACUAAAUCAGGAGCCUUUGUUGGCUUACUUACUACUAAAAGACAAGUUGUUUAGUAUGUUCACUAUUUUAUUUAAGGACAAACUUGCAAUAAGAAACACAUGUUUAAUGUACCCUAAGAUUUUUUGUUAAUAU